GCUAGAAUAGCUCAGUUGGUAGAGCAGUGGACUGAAGCUCCUCGUGUCACCAGUUCAAAUCUGGUUUCUGGCA
rnacentral:tRNA from 1 species